CUCACGAGUCAUGAGUCACGACCCUGCCUCCCAAUCCUAUCUCCACCUCCGGCAAGCCGCCGCCUCCUGCCACGCCACGCCCCCGCCGCAGCGCGCUUGCCGGCCCAUUCCCCCGCCGCCCCCCACCCUAUGGUGAUUUGAAGAGGGCGACGCUACUACUGCUGGACAACGCCAGAUGCAUGGAGAGGCGAUGGCCGCCGCCUGAGCACGGUGGUGGUUAUCGCGCGAACCAGGACGACGGAAGCCCGGUGGUGGUUACCUCCAGAACAAGGACAAUGGAAGCCAGCGGUGUUGCUGGUCCUCGCGGAGACGACGGCGCCCACUGGGGGACCUCGAUCCGCCGCCCAAUCAAGCCUAGCAUCGAUCCGGCCGCUGCUCCUCCACAUCUCCAGCUUGUGUUCCUCCACGGGUCCAAUCCUCGUGAAUAUGGUGGCCCGAGCCCCAUCCACCUUGGUCCUCUUCCGCCGCAGAAAGAUGUGACCUCCCUGGAGUAGCGGGUUAGGCGCACCGUCAGAGGGGGAGAAAAUCUUGUUAACUACAGAAACGAUGCUUGAACGGCCGGGGAACUGAAGCGUGCAGAGAAGGGGUUCAAUUAUUCUCUAUUCGUUUUUCCUUUCUCUAUCAUCUCUGCUAGAAGGGUGUUGCAGCGGCAACUAAGGCAUCCAGGGUCUAAAACUUGCACAGGGGGCGGCCUAAGGGCACAGCAUACAAGCUUGAUGAGUCUCGGGUCGGUGGUGCCCUGAGAGCCUGGUGUUUGAUGCAAGAACAAUAACUAACAUCCACCAGGAGGAGCAAGAACCAGUGACUGCUACCAUUGCUAGCUAAUCUAGCUACUAGGAUAGCCCCCUAUCUCUCCCUCAUAUACAUGGUUUUGCAACGGCCAAAGCACUUUCUUGACACUAAUAAUCCAUAGUUGGGUGCCUUCUUUCUCCCCAACUUUGGUGACUUUGGAACAGCUUGUGGGCAACUGCAGUUUAGAAGAAUCAGUACUUGAAUUGUCUUUUGAAUGUUAAAGCCAAAUGUGUUAGAAAACUAUAAUGAUAAUUGAUGUGUUUCCAUGUCUAUCUUUCUGUACUCGGCCUUGGGAGAUAAGGUGCCUCAUGGUACAACAUUGACAUAGGUGCCGGAAUAUUUGUGAGUAGCCUGAGCCUCCUAUUCUCCCUACAGACCCAGAAUUCAGAAGAUCAAUGGGAUUUUGCUUCAGAAAGUAAAAGAUCAAUGUACUGAAUACUGAUGCAUUUCAACUUUCAUUGUGUUUUAACAAAAGACUAUUUUAUGAUGUUUAAGGGGACAAGGUUUAUUGAUCUGGAGGUGUGUAACCUUGCACUAUCUCUGGUUCUAAAUAAAUGGUGUUCUUUUGUAUUUUGUGAAGAAGCAUUGCGUGCAAGACAGAAGACACCAUAAAAAAGCAGCUUACAAACAACAGCUUGAAAGUUCAAACAGAUGUACAUAAUGAAAUUUAGCGUUCCAACAAUACAUAUGUGCAAGAGUGUAGUUCACUUGGAACUUGCGAGUGAUGGGAGAUCUUCCACAUAAAAAAGGGUGCAAAGGCCGUAAAACUUCAUGAGGUAAUUUAGUCAUUCAGUUCUGUCAGUACAUUUAUGCGUAAAUACAAAAGAUGUAAGGUCAAAGUACACUUGUUUAUGAUGUAUUUCUUGUUACAUCGUUUCAUUAAUGAUAUUUUGGUGGGUGGAAUAAAAAUCAUAUGCAUAUGUAGCUCACUGCCAUUGAUCAAUUUACUGAAAGUUGAAUGUAUAAUCAAAACAAUGAGUUAGUUGUAGACAUGUAAAGUUAUGAAUAUUUUUUAUUAUAAACCUAGAACUUGGCAAA